rnacentral:rRNA from 1 species
UACACAUGCAAGUCGAACGGCAGCACGGAGCUUGCUCUGGUGGCGAGUGGCGAACGGGUGAGUAAUAUAUCGGAACGUACCCUAGAGUGGGGGAUAACGUAGCGAAAGUUACGCUAAUACCGCAUACGAUCUAAGGAUGAAAGUGGGGGAUCGCAAGACCUCAUGCUCGUGGAGCGGCCGAUAUCUGAUUAGCUAGUUGGUGGGGUAAAGGCCCACCAAGGCGACGAUCCCUAGCUGGUCUGAGAGGAUGACCAGCCACACUGGAACUGAGACACGGUCCAGACUCCUACGGGAGGCAGCAGUGGGGAAUAUUGCACAAUGGGCGCAAGCCUGAUGCAGCCAUGCCGCGUGUAUGAAGAAGGCCUUCGGGUUGUAAAGUACUUUCAGCGGGGAGGAAGGGAGUAAAGUUAAUACCUUUGCUCAUUGACGUUACCCGCAGAAGAAGCACCGGCUAACUCCGUGCCAGCAGCCGCGGUAAUACGGAGGGUGCAAGCGUUAAUCGGAAUUACUGGGCGUAAAGCGCACGCAGGCGGUUUGUUAAGUCAGAUGUGAAAUCCCCGGGCUCAACCUGGGAACUGCAUCUGAUACUGGCAAGCUUGAGUCUCGUAGAGGGGGGUAGAAUUCCAGGUGUAGCGGUGAAAUGCGUAGAGAUCUGGAGGAAUACCGGUGGCGAAGGCGGCCCCCUGGACGAAGACUGACGCUCAGGUGCGAAAGCGUGGGGAGCAAACAGG